rnacentral:tRNA from 5 species
GCCGCAGUAGCUCAGCUGGUAGAGCAACGCAUUCGUAAUGCGUGGGUCGGGGGUUCAAGUCCCUUCUGCGGCACCA